GAAUUGAAACUCACCAAAUCACCACCACCAGACAACGGGAUGCUGAGUCUCAUUCAUCAUGAUUGCUUCCUGAAGCCUUCUGAGUUCCUGUUUCCCUACACAUUGUUACAUUUCUUCCCUGCAACAUAAACCCCCAAUUUUAGUCCAUCAAGGUUAUAGAUUUGAGACUGAUCUCCCAUUUCCUUGGCUGCAACACCCAAUUAUAGCCUUCUUGGCAAUAAUUGUUGUCUCAGUGAUUGGCUUUCUUUGUGGCCAGCAGCAGGACCUAGACUGAACACCUGAUUUUCUGGUCUCUCAAAACAGAAUUUUGGCUUUUCCAGAUUGGCAAAUAGCUCUUAGUUAAAUGUGGCUUUCAAGUAUGUGUUUACUCCUUUAUGUUUCAAUUUUCCUUCAAUUUUGGCCUGGAGAGUGUCUCAACUAAGAAGCUAAAAAGGGAAAGAAAAGAAAAGCAGUUAUGUUUUUUUCCCCUCCGGCCUAUACAAACACAUACACACCAAGAAGAGAUUAACAUUUGUGUCAGUGGACUGGGGAAGGCAGAUCCACCCUUAAUCUGGUGGGCACAAUCUCGUCAGCUUCCAGCAAAUAUAAAGCAGGCAGAAAAACAUGAAAAAACACGCCUAUUCUCCCAGCCUACAUCUUUCUCCCGAGCUGGAUGCUUCCUGCCCUCGAACAUCGGACUCCAAGUUCUUCAAGUUUUGGGACUCAGUCUGGCUCUCUUUGCUCCUCAGCUUGCAGACGCCUAUUGUGGGACCUUGUGAUUGUCAGUUGCCACAGCCGCUUCAACCUUCUGCAACCAGCAAGUCAAUAGUCAUCAACAUGGUGGCCAGACCAUCUACCAACAAAAAGAUCACAAUUUGCUGAAGGCUCCAGGACUUGAGUGGAUGAGUCCUAAAUACAAUCAUAUUUAUCAUUAUAAGAAGAAGGCAACUGAAGAUU
ensembl:lncRNA novel transcript